rnacentral:lncRNA from 1 species
CAGUUCAAAAUAAACUAAGAAAAAGGAUAACAUAAUAAUCUCAACAAGAGCCAAAAAAUAAUAUAUAUAGCCUCAGCUGCGAUGAUUCGUUGACAUGAUCAUGAAGAAUCACAAGUCUUUUUUAGUAACAUCACUGGCAAAUAUGAUACAAAUUUCAUACAUAAAAACACUAAUUCAAGGAUUUUAAUACCAAAUAAAACUAAAAGCUU